CCAAACUUGGUCAUUUAGAGGAAGUAAAAGUCGUAACAAGGUCUCCGUAGGUGAACCUGCGGAGGGAUCAUUACACAAUAAACAUAUGAAGGCUGCACCGCCAACAGGCGGCAAGGCUGGAGUAUUUUAUUACCCUUGUCUUUUGCGCACUUGUUGUUUCCUGGGCGGGUUCGCCCGCCUCCAGGACCACAUGAUAAACCUUUUUUAUGCAGUUGCAAUCAGCGUCAGUACAACAAAUGUAAAUCAUUUACAACUUUCAACAACGGAUCUCUUGGUUCUGGCAUCGAUGAAGAACGCAGC
rnacentral:misc_RNA from 1 species